AUGAACCAAUGCAUAAUAGCUUUAUUUAACACAAUUGUAUCCUACAUGUAGGGACAGGCUGUUCCUUAUUUGCCUCCAGUUAAGUAAACAGAAUAGCAGAGAAAGUAAUCAUUCGCACGCUCGUAUCGGCUUGUGCAUGGGUAAAACUCUAAGAAACUGGUGUUGAAGUGAACUGUGUUGUAAAGUGAAAUAAUUGUAUUUCCAGUGUAGUGCUACUAUUUGGGUAGUAAUGAACAAUCGCCUGAUGUCGUUUUUAUCUGUUUAAAACCGUAGUUACUUUUUGCAAGAGAAAAAGGUAUUCGUUGUGGUUACGCACGGCUGAAUACAAGCACGGAAAGCGAGGGAAACAAUACUAAACAUUUCAAAUGCAGUAGGAAAGAGUUAAGGAAUUGCAGUCCAGCUGAUAGUCAGCUGAUAGCCUCUGACAGAUGAGAAAAGUUUUGUUUCUGUACUAAUAUGUUAAUUAGCUUUCCCAUUUGAGCGAGCCCAUUGGCUAGACCUCCGAGUCAAUUUCGCAUUUCAAGACUGACGUCAAGGCAGCUAUAAAACUCAGCAAUGCUUUUAAACUCAUCUACUGUGUGUUCCUUUUUAAAUACUCCUACGAGCCCGGGCAAUUUUAUGUCCAAGUCGACGUUUUGCGUCUUUCUUUACCAUCUUCUAUCCCUCCAGUCUGCAUUAUGUAUUCGUGAAGAGACAGUAAAGUGUUAAAUGUUUGAAAUACAAAGCCGCCGAAAUUCUCAUGUAAAGACAGGAAAAAGAAACGUUCGGGACAGCUCCGAUGCAUCUGCACAGUAGACACUGCAAAGGAGAAGAACUAUUCAUUUGGAGUUAGGAGCACUUCGACGAAACGCUGAAAAAGACUUUUUUCUUGGUAAGAGUAAAAUCUUUUUAAAACAUCAAGCUGGCUCACUCUCUUCCAACCCAGACCGGUUUGACAGCUGCUCUUCAACCCCUUUGGAGGACUGUCAACAGCAAGAGGAUGGCAUCAGAACUGGCAAUGAGCAACUCCGACCUGCCCACCAGUCCCCUGGCCAUGGAAUAUGUUAAUGACUUCGAUCUGAUGAAGUUUGAAGUGAAAAAGGAGCCGGUGGAGCCCGAUCGCAGCAUCAGCCAGUGCAGCCGCCUGAUCGCCGGGGGAUCCUUGUCUUCCACGCCGAUGAGCACGCCUUGCAGCUCGGUUCCCCCUUCUCCAAGCUUCUCGGCGCCCAGUCCGGGCUCCGGUAGCGAACAGAAGGCUCACUUGGAGGAUUUUUACUGGAUGACCGGUUACCAACAGCAGUUGAACCCGGAGGCUUUGGGUUUCAGCCCUGAAGACGCAGUCGAGGCGCUGAUCAACAGCACUCACCAGCUUCAGACAUUCGAUGGCUAUGCUAGAGGGCAGCAGUUUGCCAGUGCGGCCGGGGCUGGAGGCACCAUGGCCGGGGAAGAGAUGGGAUCCGCCGCCGCGGUGGUCUCCGCUGUUAUCGCCGCCGCAGCAGCUCAGAACGGAGGUCCGCACCAUCACCAUCAUCACCACCACAACACCGGGCACCAUCAACCAGCCGGCGUCCCAGCCAACGGCAACUCUGGGGCUAACCACCAACAUUUACACUUGGAGGAGCGGUUCACAGAUGAGCAGUUGGUGACCAUGUCUGUGCGGGAGCUCAAUCGGCAGCUACGGGGGGUCAGCAAGGAAGAAGUGAUCCGUCUCAAACAAAAGAGGAGGACCCUCAAAAACAGAGGCUAUGCCCAGUCCUGCCGCUUCAAGCGGGUUCAGCAGCGGCAUGUCCUGGAAGGGGAGAAGACCCAGCUCAUGCAGCAAGUGGAUCACCUCAAACAAGAGAUCUCCAGGCUGGUCCGGGAGAGGGACGCGUACAAAGAAAAGUACGAGAAGCUCAUCAGCAACGGUUUCAGAGAAAACGGAUCCAGCAGUGACAACAAUCCCUCUUCUCCGGAGUUUUUCAUGUCUUCCAGAAAGUUCCUUCACCUGUGACUGUGAGCUGUGACUCCCCCUGCUCCUGGCCUUGAAGAGUGAGAUGUCAUGGUGACAGAGCAGUGAGCUGACCCAGGACACGGGGCCUCCCACAAAGCACAACAUUUCAAUCUUGGCGGGCUGAAGAAGGAGCAGAGGGAGGCGGCACUAGUGCACCCUCCUGCCCUUCGCCAGCGGCUCCACUCCUCAGCGCCCCCUAACCCCCUCCCACACCUUUAACAGACUGACACCUUCUUUUUCUAUGAACAACGACAUCAAAGGAGGAAAAAAAGACUGCAAACUCAAGAGAGCCGAAAUCAUCGGAGGGAUAUUACUGGAAAUGAUAUUUUCUCUUCAGAUUUAUUGAGGACACCCAAGCUAGCUCCUGCUCUAGUCUUUGGUCUCUCCACUCCUCUCUGCCUCUCUCCAUCCGCUCUUCAUGUGUAUCAUCGAGCAGCCGCCAACAACCUGUGGCCCUUCAUCUCUGGAUGGGUGACCCCUUUUCCUGGAUUACCAGGAUGGGGGGACCCACCCUGGCCAAAUCCUGUGAAAGACUCUCGUCUCACUGGCUUCCUGUUUAGUGACUGCUAUAAAGCUUCUGAGCUGGAGCAGGUGCGAUAGCUCUCUGAAGGGCAGGAGCAUCAGUCCCCCUGUCCAGCAUGUACAAGAAGUUUGACGGGGAAACGAACAUGAUGAAUACAUGACGCAAGACGUUCAUAACGGUUGGCCCCUGGAGCUGUGGCUGGCUGUGGGGGCAUGAAGUGCUCUGGAAAAGGAAAAAAAAAAAAAAGCAUGAAGUGCACGCUCACGCAUAGACAGCGCUAUGGGGAAUCCUCAUUAUCAGCCCCCCGUUCUCUGUCUCCUCGUCCCCGGGACGUCACCCUACCCCACGCUUCAGCGCUGGAGUGCCGGGAGGGACAGGUCUGCUGGACCGGCUGAGACUCACCGGGCAUCUCAGCCUACGGAACAGAGAGACAGAGAAAUGGACAGAAGAGAGAGUCAGGAAUGUGUGGAACAAAGGGCUGAUUCAGGGCUUGCUUUUGUAAACAAUGUAAAUUCAGUAUGUAUAGAAAUCUGCAUGCUGCCAUGUAGAUAAAAGAACACCGAGGUUGUUCAAGUACAGUAAGGGGAACCAUGUCACUGGGUUGGUUCAGGGUUAAAAAACGUAGCUACCGCUGGCAUUUCAAACCAGCCCCACCCUUACACUUUUCUUUGUGUUUUUCCUUUUCCUCUUAGCAUACACUGCAUAUCUAUGAUACAACAUGCCGAAAAACAAGCACGCCACCAUUAAUUAGUCUAGGAAAGGUAGACAUAUGAUCAAGCAAUUUGGGUUUUGAACAGAGAGUCUGUCCUAACAGUAUGAGGGAAAAACGGAAGUAGGGCGGUCCAAUUAAGUGGCACCACACAAAGUGGUACAGGGCAGCCUGCCAGGAACUGUCUAUUUAUCUGGUGUCAGAGGGAAUUUACACAUCUCUGUGAGUCACUGGCACUGCCUGCCUGUUUCCAAGCUGCUCUGCUCAGUGCAGCCAUUCAUGGGUCCAACCAAAUCCGAUAACACCACUUUUUGUACUUAUCUAGCUAUCUGUUUAUCUAGCUAUCUUAGUUUUUAUCAUGUCGUCACUUGGACAUUGCUACCUAUAAGUAUUCUUGAUCUCGGUGCUUAAAGUAUACCACAUAGAGCAUGCCCAUUCGAGGCGUUUCGUCCAUGAAAUUUUGCCUACACUCAAAAAUGCUUUCCCUCCUUUGUGUGUGAAUCAUGUUCAGAGUACAUCUUCAUUCUUGUACCCCAGAAAGAAAAUUGGUUGUAAAAUGGUAAACACUUUGAAGCCCUUAAAUCCUUAAAUCUUUUAUUACAGCCAAACCUAAUGAAUAUCUUGCAGGACUUCCUCUGAAACAGCUGGUAGAUAAUGACCUCAGCUAACCACUGCACUGACCCAUGUGCCUGUUUUAAUGAGACAGGGCCUAAUUCAGUCCAGAUGUGUGGACUGGUGUUUAGAAUCUGCUGCAAUUUCAAAUGUGUAAACUUCCAUUCACCUAUUCAACAUGUUAUUUUGAGCCAGUGAUAUUGGUAAAGAAGCAGAAAUCUGUCUCAUACGCCCAAUCUUUGCAUUCUAACUGGAGAAUGUUUAUAAAAUGCAGUCCACAGUUGUUUCUGGAUCGUUUAAAAUAAAUGAGCAGUAGAUGAAAACAAAAGGAAGAAUUAUGUUAACUACAAAUACAUGAGAGAGAGAAAAUAUCAACUUGGAACAGGCACCUGUCUUUUGGCUGCCUUUAAGGAGGGUUUAAAUGGAGCGUUUGAAGUGUUAGGUGUGCUUUAUUCUCUUUGGUCACCAUAUCCAUAAAAAAAACAAAAAACAACAACAUCAAAAGGAUAUUCCUCUCCCUUGCAGCUCUGGCUGCUCCUGCAGUGAUAAGUUAAUACAGAUUUGAAUGCCGACACAUUAGGACUCAACCUGCCACUCAUAGGUGACUGUUACUGUGUGUUAAAAGACUAUCUUGUGUUUAAAGCUUCACGGACCUCUAAGAUGAAAGGCUGAUUCUUGGAAGGUAAUUAAAUCUCUUAAAUUAAUCUGGGUAGAGUACACAAGAGCACAAACAAAAAAGAACAAAAAGAAAAAGUAAACAAGAAAAAAGCACGAAGCAUCGUCUUAUGUAAAGUGCCCAGCAUGUGUUUAGUCCUCUGUAAGAACAAUCUAAAACCCUUUAAACAACAUGUAAACAGACAUACUACAUAAUGGGAUUGUUCAGUGGGCAAACAAUAAGCUGUUAGUGUAAUCACAGGUCAAAGAUAUAUUACCCAUAGGGCUAGGCUAGAGGUGUAUUAAAAUGAUGGAUAUCCUGUAAGCAGUGACAGAGCACAGGCUGCAGACGUGUUGUCCAGAUUCAGAUUUACCUCCUCGCGUUUUUCACCGCUCUCUCCAUCACUGGCCCCCUGCGCCCCCUCUCCAGGCCAUGUACGCCCAUACACAAACACACACGGCCCCCUUCCAUUUAAUCAGUCUUCAGCUCCACUCUUCACUCGCUGCACAGACAUUUGCAGGCUGGCGAGGUGGAGCGCCUCAUCAAUCUGGCCCAGAGACUGAAGGCAGGGGGUGGGCGUGAGUAUCGGAGGCUUGGGUUUUGGAUUAAGUAGAGAGGGGGUGUGAGGUAAGAAGGGCCAACUCGAGACUUGGCAAGCCAUUUGUCCAUGAGCUCCGAGUGGGCAAACCAGGGCAGAGAGGUCAAGGGAGACUUUCAGUUUAUUAACUGACUAUUUAUAGUCAAUUAAUAUGUUUAUAUUUGACUAUUUGAAUGAAGUGAUUGGUCUUUAGCACUAAAUAGAAAUCCUCUGUAAGUUCAGCCUUGAGUGCCCACAACAGUGUCUGGUUACUGGAAAGUUUUACUUUGGAAUUAAAUAUAGUGGCAUCUGGUUGGUUGGUGAGGGCUCCCAUCACUGAUCUCUCAGCAUAAAAUCCCAGUUAACCUUUAGGGCCACCCACAUAGUCUUGUCCUCAAAUAAAGCACUGGUAGCAGGGGGUGUUAGCAAGCUAACAAAGCAUUUAGCAUUCACAACAACGCAGACAUCUAAUCAAUUUUUCAACAGGACAUUAAAGGAUGAAUUUGAGUUUGUCCUUUAAAAAGUAUGUCAGAUUCAUUCAAUUGAUUUAUAUAAAAGAUAAUAAAAGAGAUUCAGUGCUUUUCUUUAAGGUUGCUGAUUUCUAAGCAAGGCAUACUUGGCACGCUUACCAAACAGUUAUGAUAGAAGUCUGAUCUAUCAAACAUGGCCCACCGUGUGCUAGUGUUACAGACAACUAGUUGUUGAGUGAGGAGCCAUUUAACAAAUACACAUGAAUUUGUGUUUGAUUCCCUUGAACCUGGUUAUUUCCUUUCUAUUGUUUUAUGUCAACUUGAUGGAGUCUCUUUGUAUGCACUUUUAUUUAUUUUACUAUUUUAUUUAUUUAUCUAUUUUCAGUGAUUUUCACUUGAGACUUAUUUUUGUUCAUUUAUUAAGGCUUUCUGUCUUGUACUUCUUUAAUGGAAACAGCAAUCAUGUUAUCUUAUUGUUGAACUCUGAACUCCGGAACAGCUGUGAAACAGGGUAAUAUGUGACUAAUGCAGCACAGGUUGGUUGGACUGAGCAAACAGUGUCUCUCAGGACAGAAGUUUUAAGGGAUGGCAUGUCUUAGGUUAUGUAAUAACUUCAUUCUAUGCUUUUGUUCUUUUCUGGCCCCUACAAAGUUUGCACGGUUACCAUCCAUUUCUGAUAGAACAUAGGUACAACAUUGGUUGAGGUCAGUUGACUGAGUUCAGCAAAAGGUCACCCCCAUCCCCAAAAUCAAAAAAAGAGAAAAACCCAUCACAUGAAAUUCAGCUACUUUCAGUAUGCUUUUUACACUAUCUUGCAAGACUUCUUGAUUCCACCGAGGUUUUGCAAUAGCUAACUGCUCUUCAACCGUAUACCGGUUACUCCCAUAGUCAAUUCACACACCCACCCACACACACACAUAUGUUUAUGCAGGCAUUCACGCUUACACAUGUUUUACCAUUGGCUAAAGUGGCUGAAGGUUUGUGAGGCAGAGUUAGAGUAAAGAUUAGCUGGUGCUGGGAAAUAGACAUGGUUUGGGGAUGGAGUUCGGGUAAUUACUGCAGCAGACCUUCUCCGGUAAUCUCUAGAUUACUGCUAACCUUCUCUGGUAAUUCUUUGGAUUACCGCAGACCUUCUCUGAUAAUCUCUGGAUUACUGCAGACCUCCUUUGGUAAUUACAGCCCUCUGAUGGCCCCACCUCAUUUCAGCCCAUGCAGGGGUCAAUAGUUUUUCUCUUCUAUUUAUUUCUCUACUAUAAUUUGUGUGAAGGCAGGAGUGGGCUGUUUGAUUUCUAGAGUCUGGCAAUAGCUAAUCUGCCACCUGGUUCUGAAAGAUUUUAGUAUGUUAUGUUCAUUUUCUUUUCAAGAUGGCUUCCAGAAGCACAGCCAAAUGUGUACGUUAAUCCUGCAGUGAGAUUCAUAGAUCUGAAGAGUGGAGGUACGGGUUCCUGAGCCUACAUGGAGCUCAUGACUCAGUACCCCAUCGUGCCCCCUCUCUCCUAUGCAGCUGGAGUGGGGAAGAGGCAUGACCUCAGGCCCCUUAAUGGGAAACAUUGCCUCUUGAAGUGCUUGAACAGUCUAUGGAAUAAUUCACCCAUGCCAAAUUCAACUAAUUCACCCAAGUAAAUCAAUGGUGUACCUUAGAUUUGUUAGGAUACACUUUCUGUCUUUCUACAUUCCCACAAAAAUUGUCCUCUGAAAAAAGUAGUGACAGGAAUCAGAUCAAAUUGGCCAGGUUCAUACAAGGGGAGAGAGCUUCUGGAAAACAUCAAGAUCCAGGUUUCUAGACAUAAUCUGAUGAGAGUAAUACACUGCCUGGAGACUGAGAACAGGUGGCUUUUCAGCUUGUGCCAUUUAGGCAAGCAGUCUGCCUCUUGACAGUUUGAUUUAGGUUUGGUACACUGGUGCCAACUCAUUGAGGAAGAAAAGAGUUAGAGAAAACUAAUACAAUAUAAGACGUUUUCUUCCUUGUGUCAAUGCAGAGUAUGUUAAUUGCAGUGCUGCUCACCAAGUUUCUUUACAAAUGACUCAGACUAGAUCAGUGCAUUCAGCUGCACUAAAUACAUUUGUCCAUUUAUCUGCUUAUUUGGCCCUGAGACUUAUACUGGUGUUCACAUCCUGAUCAGCCAAUGGAGAUGAAUGACUCAUGCCAAAAGAAAAGCCAUCUGUGACAAGGUCAACCCACUCCAGAAUUUCAGAAUGGCUGUGUGCUUUGUGGAGUGUGCUGACUCUUAAAAUAGAUGCGUCAGGGCGAGCUGGAACAAUGGAGGCUCAGGUCACGCAGGAGGUCCGGAUCAGAGCACGGCAGGCGGCCAUCCAGCAUGUCCCGCUGGGAGCACGGCCGUAAUCGCCUCCGCAUUAGAGCAGUGAAAUGGCACUGUCCGGAAAAUCCCCUGCCACCCACUGCAACAAAGACAGCACAGAGCAGGAGCGAGAACAAAACUGGCUUCCUUAGUACGUAUCCUGGCAGCAUCGCCACUACAACAUGACUGAAAGCCUCAGGAGCAAAUCCCACCUUCCCUGAUACCCACUCAUUUAAACAAGCCUUGCUGAGAGGCAGCCAGUAACUUACCCCCCACCGCCCUUUCAUCCGCUAGAAGCUUAGAGGCUCCUUUAUUUCCAAGACCAAGGCAAGAAUUGGGAGUUCAAAUAAAAAUCGAGGUCAAGCAGUAAUUUUCAUUUUUAAGAAGCACUGCCACUUGGGCACAAUUAAAAAGUAUUGCUCCUGUUGUAAAGCUUCCUCCCGAGGGACCCACUCCUUCGGCUGAGGUUAAUUAGUGUUUUCCCUUUAUUUCAAUUUUAGUGUUAAAUGUCUGCUUUAUGUCACACAUGGGUCUGCAGGUUGGCUUUUGAUGGGGCUGAGAUGGGCUUAAGCCCAAGGAGCAUCCUCCGGAGGGAUGUAAGCUGGGAAGACAGCCAUUGUGUCAUAUUGCUGUAGAGAUUCGCCCCCACCACUUGGCCUGCGUGACCUCAACCACAGAGGAGCUGUAUGAGAUAACACAUUAGCAUGCCCUGUGUACACACACACAUAUCAUUUUUGAUCAAACACAGAAGGGAUGGACAAUCUUUGAUGCAUGCUGGGAAGGAAGGUUCCUAGGACCCUCUGUGAACAGCAUCUAAUACAGAAUUUCAUAUGUGUGUGUGUGUGUGGGGGGGGGGUGUUAUUUGCAUGGUGGUAGCCAUCCAAUAAGCGCAGUGGUUUUUUUAUUUUAAUAGCUGCAAUAAUCACCAUUCGUGUGCAACCUUCACCUGGAAGAACAAGGUAGAAUUGAAUUUUUUUUUUUCUUCUGCUUAGCAUGUUCCAUUCACACUGACAGUACAGUGGACUUUCUGCGGCUAGCAAUGCUAUAGUUCCGUCUCUUUUUUGAAUAUUUCUGAAACAACAUGAUCCCAUAAGUGAAAAUUUGUAAACAUUUACAUGAUCCAGCCCAUACAAAAUGUUUGUAACUGCUUUGUUUGGGACUAGUGUCCUCAUGUUUCUCAUUCAUAUCCUUUCUACCAAUUUCAUUUGUUUGGAAUCCGAAUGCAUCUUUCUCACUCAUGCUGAUAUGUAUGAUAGUAAUUUAUUUUGUAAAACAAACUUGUCAACACCUUUGUGUCAGAUACUGUAGUGUCAUAGUUUCUUCCCUAAUGGCACAUACCAAGUUCAAGACAGCGAUACCUUCUGGUCCAGAGGCUGAGUCAUGUCAUGUUACCAGCUAAAGGCUGAUCACAGGGAAAAUACCCUGAGAAUAUGUCUUCCUUGGUAGAUUGUGGAGGUACAGUUAUUUUUGCACAGGAAGUGCAGGGUACUGCAUACCUAAAGCAAGAGACAGAAAAAGAGAAAGAUUGGUAAGAGGGGAAAAAGAGGUCUGUCUCUUUUUCCGUGUUUCAUUGAGCCAGUUGUUCUCUUUAAUGUGCACGUCCUGUGUGUGCUACAGGCCAGAUUAGUCCUUUUCCACCUACAAAGGAAAAAAGAAAGAAUAACUUCCUUAUGUUGUAGACUGGGACCUGUAUAUAUCAUGUAAAUAUAUUGCAGCUAUGCAUGCUGAUACUCUAGCAGUUUGUUCAGGUAAUUUUGUAAUCAAACAUUCUCAUAUGGCAUGUAUGGGAAUUAAACAUCUGAGUAAAAAACAAAAAAAAACAAAAACAAAAAAAACUACCCUAAAAAAAUCAAAAAGCAAAAAAGAAGAAUGAAAGUACCAUGUUCAAAUAAGAAUUUCCAAUUUCAACUUAAGAUAUUUUUUAGGCACUUAUUUGAUAUUCAUCCAUCGGCUUGCUACGACCAUUUUAUGUGGUAAUGUUACUGUUUCAUUAUAUGUGUUGAGAGAGUCUGAGGUUGAGGCAAAGCUGAAUUCAACUCUGCUUCUAGUAGAGGGGGGCAGGGUUAAAAACCUGAUCACGGCUCUGUUGACCUAUCCUUUAACUAUGACUGUAAGCAGUUCUCUCUAUUCUUCUAUAUAGUUUCAGCAGUAUUAGAUAAAGGCUUCAGAAAAAAGUUAUAGUUAGUCUAUUCUUAUAUGUGAUUAUGAUCAAGAUCUGGUACAUGCUGAUGCUCUUUAUCAAAAAGUAACCCCACCAGCUUUAGAAAUGUAGAAAGCCUAGGCAUGUAAACAAGAGAGCUAGAGUGGAAAGCAGCACUGGUAAUGUUCAUGAAAUGACUGGACCAUAACUAUUUGUACUGUUUAGUUUCAGUUCAAGUUUUUCAACAUUUAAAUAUGAAUUAUUCUGAAAGACUACCUGUGCUUAUUUUAAACAAGCCCUCAUCAUUAUGCAUAGGUUUGUUUGACAUACUAUAUGCAUUGCCUCAACCAUAAGAGCUCACAUUUCUCUAAUGAUGGGUGUAAAAUGGAGACUGGAUAACAGACAGGGAAAGCUCUGGGAGAAUAUUUUGCUUCAAGUUUAAUUUUAUUUAAUUUAUGAUUUCUAUUAUUUUCAGAGUCUUUAUUUUUAACCAUCUAAGAAAUGGAGGUUCCCAGUGGUGACCAUGACAAAAUGGAAAUGUGUAAUUUUUAAACUGUGCUACAGAUAAUUUAAAUUUAAUAAAUAAUCAUUGUAACAAGAAAA